UGGGGAAUAUUGCACAAUGGGCGCAAGCCUGAUGCAGCCAUGCCGCGUGUAUGAAGAAGGCCUUCGGGUUGUAAAGUACUUUCAGCGGGGAGGAAGGUGUUGAGGUUAAUAACCUCAGCAAUUGACGUUACCCGCAGAAGAAGCACAGGCUAACUCCGUGCCAGCAGCCGCGGUAAUACGGAGGGUGCAAGCGUUAAUCGGAAUUACUGGGCGUAAAGCGCACGCAGGCGGUCUGUCAAGUCGGAUGUGAAAUCCCCGGGCUCAACUUGGGAACUGCAUUCGAAACUGGCAGGCUAGAGUCUUGUAGAGGGGGGUAGAAUUCCAGGUGUAGCGGUGAAAUGCGUAGAGAUCUGGAGGAAUACCGGUGGCGAAGGCGGCCCCCUGGACAAAGACUGACGCUCAGGUGCGAAAGCGUGGGGAGCAAACA
rnacentral:rRNA from 1 species